UACGUAGGGGGCAAGCGUUGUCCGGAAUCAUUGGGCGUAAAGCGCGCGUAGGCGGCCCGGUAAGUCCGUUGUGAAAGUCAAAGGCUCAACCUUUGAACGCCGAUGGAUACUGCCGGGCUAGAGUCCGGAAGAGGCGAGUGGAAUUCCUGGUGUAGCGGUGGAAUGCGCAGAUAUCGGGAGGAACACCAGUAGCGAAGGCGGCUCGCUGGGCCAUUCCUGACGCUGAGACGCGGAAAGCUAGGGGAGCGAACAGG
rnacentral:rRNA from 1 species